GGAAGGGUGGCUGAGUGGUUUAAGGCGGCAGUCUUGAAAACUGUUGAGGAUGAAAGUCCUCCGCGAGUUCGAAUCUCGCCCCUUCCG
rnacentral:tRNA from 4 species